rnacentral:rRNA from 1 species
AACGUAGGAGACAAACGUUAUCCGGAGUUACUGGGCGUAAAGGGCGUGUAGGUGGUUUUGUAAGUCUGGCGUGAAAUUUCUCGGCUUAACCGAGGCAGGUCGUCGGAUACUAUAAGACUAGAGGACGGUAGAGGCGUGUGGAAUUCCGGGUGUAGUGGUGAAAUGCGUAGAGAUCCGGAGGAACACCAGUGGCGAAGGCGGCUCACUGGCCCGGUACUGACGCUGAGGUGCGAAAGCGUGGGGAGCAAACAGG